GAGUAACGCGUGGGUAACCUGCCUCACACUGGGGGAUAACAGUCAGAAAUGACUGCUAAUACCGCAUAAGCGCACGGGAUUGCAUGAUCCAGUGUGAAAAACUCCGGUGGUGUGAGAUGGACCCGCGUUGGAUUAGCCAGUUGGCAGGGUAACGGCCCACCAAGGCGACGAUCCAUAGCCGGCCUGAGAGGGUGAACGGCCACAUUGGGACUGAGACACGGCCCAGACUCCUACGGGAGGCAGCAUG
rnacentral:rRNA from 1 species